UACGUAGGGCGCAAGCGUUGUCCGGAAUUAUUGGGCGUAAAGAGCUCGUAGGUGGUGUGUCGCGUCUGCCGUGAAAGCCCGGGGCUUAACUCCGGGUCUGCGGUGGAUACGGGCAGACUAGAGGCAGGUAGGGGAGAACGGAAUUCCCGGUGUAGCGGUGAAAUGCGCAGAUAUCGGGAGGAACCCCGGUGGCGAAGGCGGUUCUCUGGGCCUGUACUGACGCUGAGGUGCGAAAGCGUGGGGAGCAAACAGG
rnacentral:rRNA from 1 species